AAAAACUGAAGAAAAAAACCUCCUUAAGAAUUACGUCAUUGGGGAAAAUGUAAUUGCAAAGCCAAUUGCUGAAAACAAGAAGAUGGUGUCCAGAAGGACUUUCUGGGGUUUCAUUAUUGCUUUCUCAGUUGCAUUAAUAGUUGAAGUACGCCCUCAGGGAGUUGUCCCAUCGUUUCACGCAACUCAACUCUUGCAAGCUCCAAAAGGACAUUAUGUGGAACUGAGUUUCACCUUGAAGACUUCAAAUCCAACACCAUGCAUUGAUGACAUGUACCUUGAGGUUCGCGAUGGAUACAACAAGUCUUCCAGUAUUCUUGGUGUAUUUUGUGGGAGAAACAUUUCUGGUGUUGUGCGAUCCAGUGGACAGAGCUUGUG